rnacentral:rRNA from 1 species
GUAGGGAAUAUUGCGCAAUGGACGAAAGUCUGACGCAGCGACGCCGCGUGAGUGAUGAAGGCCUUAGGGUCGUAAAGCUCUGUUGAAUGGGAAGAAAAAAAUGACGGUACCAUUCGAGGAAGGACCGGCUAACUUCGUGCCAGCAGCCGCGGUAAUACGAGGGGUCCUAGCGUUGUUCGGAAUCAUUGGGCGUAAAGGGUGUGUAGGUGGCCAUGUAAGUCAGGUGUGAAAGCUCCGGGCUCAACCCGGGAAGUGCACUUGAUACUGCGUGGCUUGAGUACCGAAGAGGGUAGUGGAAGUACAGGUGUAGUGGUGAAAUACGUAGAUAUCUGGAGGAACACCGGUGGCGAAGGCGGCUACCUGGUCGAGUACUGACACUGAGACACGAAAGCAUGGGGAUCAAACAGGAUUAGAAACCCUGGUAGUCC